CUCUCUUCUCAGGUGAUUCUCCAUUGUGUCAAGGUGAUGCUUAGGAAUGUAGUGUCUUUUCUUCCCAGUUUAAUAUCUGGUAUAUCCUGUAUCUGAGUGAAGUAUGUUAAAUGGAUGUUUGGAGUUGGGAGAUUGAAAAGGAACUUUCUCUGCCCGCUCCAUGCCUGACUUGGUCUUGUAAUACCACAAAAGGUGCACCCUUU
rnacentral:snRNA from 1 species